rnacentral:rRNA from 1 species
CCUACGGGGGGCUGCAGUAGGGAAUCUUUCACAAUGGGCGAAAGCCUGAUGGAGCAACGCCGCGUGCAGGAUGAAGGCCUUCGGGUUGUAAACUGCUUUUAUAAGCGAGAAAUAUGAUGGUAACUUAUGAAUAAGGAUCGGCUAACUACGUGCCAGCAGCCGCGGUCAUACGUAGGAUCCGAGCAUUAUCCGGAGUGACUGGGUGUAAAGAGUUGCGUAGGUGGCAUAAUAAGUAGCUAGUGAAAUCUGGUGGCUCAACCAUUCAGACUAUUAGCUAAACUGUUAAGCUCGAGACCGUUAGGGGUAACUGGAAUGUCUAGUGUAGGAGUGAAAUGCGUAGAUAUUAGGAGGAACACCAAUAGCGUAGGCAGGUUACUGGGACGGUUCUGACACUAAGGCACGAAAGCGUAGGGAGCAAACGGGAUUAGAUACCCGGGUAGUC